UUUUAAUUGAAGGCUUGAAUGAAUGGUUGGACGAGAUAUAAACUUUCUUUAAUUUAAUCAAUGAACUUAAUCUUUUAGUUAAAAAGCUAAAAUAUAUUUGAGGGACGAGAAGACCCUAUAGAUCUUAAUAAAUAAUACUUUCAUAAGUUUUGGACUAUAUAUAUUUAUGAAAGUAUUAUUUAUUUAGUUGGGGUGACUUUAGAAUAAAAUUAACUUCUAAUUUUUUUUUUCAUUAAUUAGUGUAUUUAUGAUCCAAAAGGUUUGAUUAAAAGAUUAAGUUACCUUAGGGAUAACAGCGUAAUUUCUUUGGAGAG
rnacentral:rRNA from 1 species